GGUGUAGCGGUGAAAUGCGUAGAUAUCAGGAGGAACACCGGCGGUGUAGACGGCUUUCUGGACCGUAACUGACGCUGAGACACGAAAGCGUGGGUAGCAAACAGGAUUAGAUACCCUGUAGUC
rnacentral:rRNA from 1 species